CUACGGGAGGCAGCAGUGAGGAAUAUUGCACAAUGGAGGAAACUCUGAUGCAGCAACGCCGCGUGGAGGAUGACGCAUUUCGGUGUGUAAACUCCUUUUAUAUGUCAAGAAAAUGACGGUAGCAUAUGAAUAAGCACCGGCUAACUCCGUGCCAGCAGCCGCGGUAAUACGGAGGGUGCAAGCGUUACUCGGAAUCACUGGGCGUAAAGGACGCGUAGGCGGGAUAUCAAGUCAGGUGUGAAAUCCUACAGCUUAACUGUAGAACUGCACUUGAAACUGGUAACCUAGAGUAUGGGAGGGGGAGAUGGAAUUAGUGGUGUAGGGGUACAAUCCGUAGAUAUCACUAGGAAUACCUAAAGCGAAGGCGAUCUCCUGGAACAUAACUGACGCUAAGGCGUGAAAGCGUGGGGAGCAAACAGGAUUAGAUCCCUGGUAGUC
rnacentral:rRNA from 1 species